rnacentral:rRNA from 1 species
GACGAACGCUGGCGGCGUGCCUAAUACAUGCAAGUCGAACGCUGAAGGAGGAGCUUGCUUCUCGGGAUGAGUUGCGAACGGGUGAGUAACGCGUAGGUAACCUGCCUGGUAGCGGGGGAUAACUAUUGGAAACGAUAGCUAAUACCGCAUAAUAGUAGAUGUUGCAUGACAUUUGCUUAAAAGGUGCAAUUGCAUCACUACCAGAUGGACCUGCGUUGUAUUAGCUAGUUGGUGGGGUAACGGCUCACCAAGGCGACGAUACAUAGCCGACCUGAGAGGGUGAUCGGCCACACUGGGACUGAGACACGGCCCAGACUCCUACGGGAGGCAGCAGUAGGGAAUCUUCGGCAAUGGACGGAAGUCUGACCGAGCAACGCCGCGGGAGUGAAGAAGGUUUUCGGAUCGUAAAGCUCUGUUGUAAGAGAAGAACGAGUGUGAGAGUGGAAAGUUCACACUGUGACGGUAUCUUACCAGAAAGGGACGGCUAACUACGUG